GGUACAAUAUCUGAUCUAAUAUCUUUUACUACAUAAAUAUGUCAAUCUAUUGCCUAAAAAUGCAUUGUAGGUUCAGAAAACUUAAAUUUAGAUGAACUUGGAAAAACGAGAAGAGAUUAUACUAGAAGAGCUGUAGAAAAUAUAAUUAGAAGUGGAUUGAAGUACCGUGCUGAUGGACAAGAAAGAAGACUCAAAUUAAAUCACGUUUGUCGUGUGAUAGCAUUGUACAAAAAUACAACUAAUUCAUCAGGACAUAUAAAAUCAGCCGAAGUUGUUUCUGUUCAUUGCCAACUAACUUCUACAAACCAGAACAGUACUACCUACUACAGACAGUUUGGAAACGAAAUAUUUCAAGUAUGGUUACAUAGUGAACAAAGGGAACCGCUUUUGAGUAAUAAUGGUAGUUUAGAUCAAGAACCUAGGGCUGAUGAUAAGAACAAAAAAUCAGUGCCAAAAUGCCGUUGCGGUAUACUAUGAGACCAUGUCAACCGAUGUAUAUAUAUAAAUUUCAUAAUAAAAUUAAAUUAUCCGGGUGUUUCAACAAAU